GGCACAGCCGGCGGGUUCGGCCGGUAGAGCCGUGACCGAGGUUUGAGCGCCCCGGGGUGGUUGCGUGCGGGGGGGAAGCGCCAAGAGCCGGGGUCGUUGCGGGAUGGCCUCUCCUGGGGCUCCCGCCCCGUGUGUCCCAUGGGUGCUGCUCCCUGUUCGGGCGUGCCUAGCGCUGAGGGCAGGUACAACGUGGAAGGGGUGUCCCUGCUUGGGCCGGGCAGUGCCCCCCGGCUGCUUUAGUGCUCCCUGUGCUUUCCCCAAUGGCUCUUCCCAGUGCCAGCAGUCCCGCAGCUGCCUCGGAAGGUGCGGGAUGUAAACCCGGGGCAUUUCCCAUCUGGAGAAAGUUUGAAAGGGGAAGUUGAGCCUUCGUUUUUCAUUAGGUUGCGCCGCGUUAUGGCAGAUCCUGUUUUCGUGUUAAUUAGGUGCUGUUCAUUUUCUUCAUUACUUGCUGCCGCACCUAGAAUUUAUAUUCAUCUGCUUCAAUCGUGUGUGCCUGGUUAAAUUCUAAACAGUUACUCGUUCAGAAAGGAAAUUAUUACCUCGCACUGCCAGGGCUCCCACUUUGCCUUAAUUUCCCUGGAGCCUCGUUUACUUCUCUCCGCUUUCUUUCUUUCCUGCUCUCUGGGUCCCCCCGGGCUCGCUGGGAGCUCGUGCCACGUUCACACCACCGACAUCUCACUCCAUGCACCAGGCACCCUCUGGCCCUCGACCUGCAGCAGGUGCCAAUGGCUCAGGUAUUGCCCUGCACAGCCCAGACCCAAGAAACCACGAGCCUGGCAUGGUGGUCCAGGACACAUCAAUGUUCCUGCAAACAAGCACCACGUUGCUGCAGCCAUGGAGCAUCUGAGGCUGCACAGAGAGGGAGGGGAACAGCCAAUACCAGCACCACGGUUGGUACUGAACACACUGGGCUUGGGCCAUGGUCUUGCUUCACCGCUGUGGCUGGAUGCUCAGACAGGGCACAUGCAGCAGGCAGAACAGCACCAGGCUCUUGGCCGGGAGAGGUGUUCAGCACCUCCUCCAGGCUGCCACAGAAGGGGAAUUGUAGCUACAAACUUCCCCGUGAAGAGAAUCGUUGUGCUUUUGAAACAGACCGUAAAAACCCAGCGAU